rnacentral:ncRNA from 18 species
AAAUAGAAUUAUGAGAGGACUGAUGGAUGAAUAAUGAUUAACUAAUCUAUAUUUUAAUUUGAAAUUAAUAACUUCAAACUACAAAAUAUAGGGUUAGUCUAUCCAUUUUUAUAAAUCAGUUCAUACUUUAUUUGUCAUGAUUCCAAUGAUUAAUAAGAACUUAUUAAGUAUAAGUGAGAUACUAAUCCUUCCGAUUACAAAUUGGGAGGAUUUUUUU